rnacentral:rRNA from 1 species
AACGCACCUUGCGCUCCUUGGUAUUCCGAGGAGCAUGCCUGUUGAGUGUCAUUUAAUAUAUCAACCUCUUCAGCUUUGCUGCAUGUUGAGUGUUGGAUGUGGGGGUAUUUUGCUGGACUCGUUAGAAUUAUGAGGUCAGCUCCCCUAAAAUACAUCAGCGAAACAGUUUUGUUUACCGCUCAUUGGUGUGAUAACUAUCUACGCUAUUGACGGUGAAGCAUUGUUUAGCUUCUAACAGUCCAUUGACUUGGACAAUCUUCUUAUUAAUGUGACCUCAAAUCAGGUAGGACUACCCGCUGAACUUA